GCUUACGGCCACACUACUCUGAACGCGCCCGAUCUCGUCUGAUCUCGGAAGCUAAGCAGGGUCGGGCCUGGUCAGUACUUGGAUGGGAGACCGCCUGGGAAUACCAGGUGCUGUAAGCU
ensembl:rRNA 5S_rRNA 5S ribosomal RNA